rnacentral:rRNA from 1 species
UACGUAGGUGACAAGCGUUGUCCGGAUUUACUGGGCGUAAAGAGCGCGCAGGCGGUCGUUCAAGUCGAGUGUGAAAGCCCCCGGCUCAACUGGGAGAGGUCCUUGGAUACUGGAGAACUUGAGGGAUGCAGAGGAAAGUGGAAUUCCCGGUGUAGUGGUGAUAUGCGUAGAUAUCGGGAGGAACACCAGUGGCGAAGGCGGCUUUCUGGGCAUUUCCUGACGCUGAGACGCGAAAGCGUGGGGAGCGAACCGG